rnacentral:rRNA from 1 species
CCCUUAGAUGUCCGGGGCCGCACGCGCGCUACACUGAAGGAAUCAGCGUGGCUUUCUCCCUGACCCGAAAGGGUUGGGAAACCCGUUGAAUCUCCUUCGUGAUAGGGAUUGGGGCUUGAAAUUGUUCCCCAUGAACGAGGAAUUCCCAGUAAGCGCGAGUCAUAAGCUCGCGUUGAUUACGUCCCUGCCCUUUGUACACACCGCCCGUCGCUACUACCGAUUGAGUGAUCCGGUGAAUAAUUCGGACCUGGAUCUAAGCCGGCAACGGUUUGGACUUGGGAAAGUCUAGUGAACCUUAUCACUUAGAGGAAGGAGAAGUCGUAACA